rnacentral:rRNA from 1 species
AGAAUCUUCCGCAAUGGGCGAAAGCCUGACCCAGCGACGCCGCGUGAAGGAUGAAAUCCUUCGGGAUGUAAACUUCGCAAGAACAGGAAGAAUAAGUAAGAGUUAAUAUCUCUUACGAUGACGGUACUGUUUGUAAGCUCCGGCUAACUCCCUGCCACCAGCCGCGGUAAUACGGGGGGAGCAAGCGUUGUUCGGAUUUACUGGGCGUAAAGGGCGCGUAGGCGGCCACCGCAAGUCGACUGUGAAAUCUCCGGGCUUAACCCGGAAAGGUCAGCCGAUACUGCGGGGCUAGAGUGCAGAAGGGGCAACUGGAAUUCUCGGUGUAGCGGUGAAAUGCGUAGAUAUCGAGAGGAACACCUGCGGCGAAGGCGGGUUGCUGGGCUGACACUGACGCUGAUGCGCGAAAGCUAGGGGAGCGA